rfam:Pseudopropionibacterium propionicum F0230a chromosome, complete genome.
GGAACUGGCUAGGCUGUCCCGCGACGACUGACCAUUCAGCUUGCCGACAACGAAGGAAUCCGGUGCGAAUCCGGAGCGGUGCCGCCACUGUGACCACCCGGGUGGGAGCCAGAUACUUCGGGCCAGCCAAGACCGAAC